rnacentral:lncRNA from 1 species
GUGGAUGUUUGAUGCAGUAAUCCCUAAUAUUCACUGACAAUGCCUGUGUCGCACUGCUCGAUGAUUCUGGAGUGAACAACGGCGCCCACACUCCCUAACUGGAGGCAUCGCAGAGCAAAAUCUCAAAACACUUGUGAACUUCUUCCAAUCCCGCAAGAUCAUGCAAGUAACUGGAAUGACUUGAUCGUUCAAAUUAACAUUCAUGCUAAAAAAAAAGUCCCACAAUUUCACACUACAUCAUCUUCUGAUGGUUUAUAUCCUUGUAGAAGGGAUGUGUGGUUUCAUGUAAAAUAUUUCUACAUAACUGGUCCAUUGUUCCUCACAACAUUGCUUGAUGUGAUCGGAUUUAACAAACCAAGGAUUUAUAGUCUGUGGUCCAUGUCCUAGAGUGUGUCAAGUUUCGUAAUCUACAGGAUGUUGAAUGUGUUUCCUGUUUGGUGCGGUUUGAUAUCUCGCAGUGUGUGGCGCUGUAGUGCAGACGCUUUCGUUGGAAAUUGGGUUUCUGUAAAUAAUGAUAUCUUAUGAAGCUUCAAAACAUGUUGGGAUGGGAGUAGAAGAUUAAUCUGCUCGAAGGAGCCAAUACAAUUUCAAGACCCGAGGAAGAGACAACUAAUUAUCUAUAAGUAUUCGGAAGCAGAUAUCUAAAUUCUGUAUGUGCUUCUGAAAUGAAUCAGAAGCUCCAUAUUUUCCCGACUCAUAACUGGGAUUCUGUAGCUGACAGAAGUUCCCAACCACUGCUGGUUUCUGUUAGGAGUGUUUCCCUCUCCCCCCCCCUGUCUGUGUCUCGUCUGUGUUUCCACUGUCGGUUUAUUUCCAGGCUGGGCGGAGCGGCUUCCAGACUCCCCCCGUCCGGCGAUCGAUGCACACCUGGAACCCAUCUCCAGCCAAUCACCCACACCUGCCAUCCGUUUUAUAAGCCUGGUCCACAUCUAAUUAUUCACCAAUUUGUUGUUAACCCCCCUGUGAUCGCCCUUCUUGGAUUCCUGUUUGUGCCACCCAGCUUGCUCCUGUUGGAUCGUGUUUCUUCUGCUGCCUGCACCUCUUGGUUUCUGCCUUAAACCUUUCACAGUUAAAGAACCUUUACUCCAACUCCAGCCAUUCGUAUGUGUCUGCUUUUGGGGUCUAGAUUUGUGUAUGCAGAGCUCUAACAGUUUCUCCCCUUUCUUCUUCAGAAAAGAAUAAACUGCAUCUACCUUCCAGCUGCUGUCCACCCAGCUCUGUGAGGACGGUUGCAGACUUGAAACAUUCUGUUGAUGCUGCUUUCUGAAUUCUGAGUGAUAAUAUAAUAAACAUGCAGAAUAAUUUAUGCAACCAGGUUGGACUUGGUGAUUGUGUGUGACAUAUAUGUGUGUUUUAUAUAUUUAUAUGUGCCAAAUCAAGAUAAUGACAAAAUUCAAAUAAAGUUAAAUUAGGAGGAUUCACAGUGGAGCAUUUUUGGUUGGUCACGUCAGUGGAAGCUACUCUACGGACCAGCACAUCAAAGAUUUCUACUAAUCCUCCUUCUAUCCCCAGGCUGCACACAGCCAGGCUGGAGAGCUUUUUCAUGGAUUAGAAGAUGCCCCCUUAUCCCCCUUGUCUGACUCUGGUGGUUUCAGGGGUUGCUGUCAGGUCAGGUCAUGGAUGGGUUUUCUUCUCUGGUCACAGACAUUUAACUUUCUCCAUUCUUUUAAGUCAUUAAGUGUGUUUUUAAUAUUUACAUUAGUGUUCAUACAAUUAUUGGCUUAUAGCGAGAACUUGAAGAGACAUUCUUUAUGUUUCAGGUUCAUGCUGUGAAUAAACCAGAGGAGGAAAAGAUUAUCCCUGGUGUCAUGGUUGGUGGCCAGGAGGAAUCUGACGAAGGUUUUAGGACACACUUCAAAAGUGGAGACUAGAGCCGGAGUAUUGGAGCGCCCCGAUCAGGCAGCGCUGUGGACACCUGUCUCACCAGGUAUAUGGAAAAGCAUUAAGAUAGGUUGAGCCAUGGACUGCAAAGCUCAGGUUCCUUUAUCUAACUUUGGCAUCCCACUGGUAAUGUGAUGGUGAUUAUAUGUCAUACAGUGUGUUUGCAUGUGCUCCAUAUAUAAUAAUUUACAUUUAUUAUCCUGCCCACUGCAAGAACAGUGUAGAAUAGAAAGGCCUUACAAAAAGCAUUAGCAUCGAAGAACCACUGCAACUGAGGAGGCAAAAUUCUCUACUAGGCCAGAAUUCCUGACAAAAUGUGAGCAAGAUUAUUCCGGGAUGCAUUGACAUGACUCAUGAAUUUUGGUUCCUGGAGCUGUAGCAUCUUAUGUGGUUGUUGCUUACGAUCAUUCUCCCAGUGCUGCCAUUUCACCUGUGCACUGUCUCCUAGUGUGAUUCCACAGUCAGCCCUGUUGAAUGAACAAGAAAGCCACAGAUCAGUGCUGUAAUUUUGCUGUUGCUGCUGUUUCUGCCACCUGGUGUUAGAUACUGUCACCCUACUGUUGCAGCUAGACUCUAGCUGCUAGAGUAUACAGUGGUAUGAGAAAGUUUAGGCACCCCCUCUGAGGUUGUGUAAUAAUGGACUCUGACUUCACACAAAAUUAUCUUGGUGGCAUGUCCUUCAUUUGCCCAUAAGUGCCAAGUGUUAGCUUGAUUUCCAAACACAGAUUUUAAGUAUUCAUAGUAUGCAAUUGUAUGAAAUUAAAUCAAAUGUAUAAAAUAGGCUGUGCAAAAAUGUGGGAACCCUUGUCAUUUUUUCUGCUUUGAUGGCCUGCAACUUAUCAUCACAAGAUAAUUGGACACACAAAGUUGGUUUGGUGAGCUCGUUAAGCCUUGAACUUAAUCGACAGUUGCAUCCAAUAAUGUCAA